UCAGAGUAAGUGGUAAACCUCCUACAACAAAAGCCCUAUGGUAUUGUUUUGUUAGGAGAAUGAAGCCAUACAGUUCUUCUAUUAGGAGAUUUACCACCUACUCUGAGUUAACUAACCCAGGUUUGUCACUAAACCAAGUACUUGGAAUACCCCCCAGAGCAAAAGCGACAUGUAGGGAAAGGGUGU